ensembl:rRNA 5S_rRNA 5S ribosomal RNA
ACAUUUGGUGGAGACUGUUGAAGCCACCUGGUCCCAGCAGACCCCAGAAGGCAGCCACAUUCGCUGGUGCUGGGGCAAGGUCAUUGAAGGUGAAGCCUGGUGCCAUAUGUG